UUACGGUCAUAUCAUGUUGAAACACCUGUUCUCGUCCGAUCACCAAAAUUAAGCUACGUUGAACCUGGUCAGUACCCAAAUGGGUGACCAAUGGGAGUUUG